AGUGAACGCUGGCGGUAGGCCUAACACAUGCAAGUCGAACGGCAGCACAGUAAGAGCUUGCUCUUACGGGUGGCGAGUGGCGGACGGGUGAGGAAUACAUCGGAAUCUACUUUUUCGUGGGGGAUAACGUAGGGAAACUUACGCUAAUACCGCAUACGACCUACGGGUGAAAGCAGGGGAUCUUCGGACCUUGCGCGAUUGAAUGAGCCGAUGUCGGAUUAGCUAGUUAGCGGGGUAAAGGCCAACCAAGGCGACGAUCCGUAGCUGGUCUGAGGGGAUGAUCAGCCACACUGGAACUGAGACACGGUCCAGACUCCUACGGGAGGCAGCAGUGGGGAAUAUUGGACGAUGGGCGCAAGCCUGAUCCAGCCAUACCGCGUGGGUGAAGAAGGCCUUCGGGUUGUAAAGCCCUUUUGUUGGGAAAGAAAAGCAGCAGGUUAAUACCCCGCUGUUCUGACGGUACCCAAAGAAUAAGCACCGGCUAACUUCGUG
rnacentral:rRNA from 1 species